AUGAACGCUAGCGGCAGGCCUAAUACAUGCAAGUCGAGGGGCAGCGGGAGUAGCAAUACUUGCCGGCGACCGGCGCACGGGUGCGUAACACGUAUGUAACCUAUCCAUAAUUUGGGAAUAGCCCGGAGAAAUUCGGAUUAAUGUCCAAUAAGAUAUUAGAAUGGCAUCAUUCAGAUAUUAAAGAUUUAUCGAUUAUGGGAGGGCAUGCGGCCAAUUAGCUAGUUGGUGAGGUAACAGCUCACCAAGGCUACGAUUGGUAGGGGACCUGAGAGGGUGAUCCCCCACACUGGUACUGAGAUACGGACCAGACUCCUACGGGAGGCAGCAGUAGGGAAUAUUGGGCAAUGGAGGCAACUCUGACCCAGCCAUGCCGCGUGCAGGAAGAAGGCCUUCUGGGUUGUAAACUGCUUUUGAUUGGGAACAAAUGAAUCUUGCGAGAUUAGCUGAGGGUACCAAUAGAAUAAGCACCGGCUAACUCCGU
rnacentral:rRNA from 1 species